GAGAGGAGGGGUGGCCAUGCGAAGGAGCUCAAUCGAUUUUGGAGAUCUGGGGAAGACGAGCGGUGCUGACGGGAGAAAAAGGCGUGGGUUUUUUUUUAGCCAAAGAAAAAGGCGUGGGUAGUGGAGCCAUCUGAGGAUGAGGGGGCCACGUUUCUGAUUUGUCUAUUUUUUUUAGCAUAUCUCUGAUUCGUGUGCGUUUGGAACCAAGGCCUAGUCAAUUGUGACGUACAUGCAAAAUUUAAAAUAAAAAAUCAUUGGUCAACUGUGACAUGAUGUCUCGAGUGCACGGAGAAUUGCAAGGACCACUGGUGUUGAUGAGUCAAACCGAUGAAAUACAUACAUGUUAUAAUAUGGCAAUAAGUUUAUGGAAAUUUGGUUUAAUCUAGAAAAAAAUCAUAUAACCAUAGAUCUCGUCCAAACUAGAAACUGACUCGAGGAGUGAUUGGGCGGUCUAGUUGAUCUCGUUGAUUGCGGGUGAACAAGAGUCGAGGUCUGGAUGAACUCGGGAGCAUCUUGUUUCGUCUAGCUAGUGCUCGUCGGUUGCAGCUUGACAGACUUUGGCUGGAAACAUCGCUAUGGUGAAUGGAGACUUGUGGCGAGCGGCCUUGGAGAGAGGGGAGCUAACAACGAAAGUGUUGGUGGUGAUAUCGACGGCUAGGAGGCGGUGAGGAGGAAGGUCACACAGUGAAGGUGAGUAGAUCGAGCAUGGAGGGUGGGAGCUUCAAAGAGGGAUAGAAACUCGGGGCUAAACCUAGGGAUUGAAGAAGAGUAAUCUCAUGGGUUCGAUACAUUCUUGUGGUGCCAGGCAGGAAACAAGGAGGAGGAUGGAGGAGUGUGUGUGGAGAUUGACGAGGUUGACCUAACCUUGUCCAUGGAAGUGACAAUGAUAGGUGCACUAUAGCGAGGGAAAGGAUUAGUGAAAGGUCAGGGUGUCUGUGGCAUGGUGAUGUUGGGUUUGUGCCGAAAGCGGCGCACCCAAUGUUACUCUUAUAGGUAACGUGGGUCAAAUGGAACCAUAAGAGUAGUAUACUAGUAGUAUUCAAUAUUCGCCGUAGUUGUAGCUAUAGUUGUAGUGAAAAUCUUAAAAUAGGUUUCAUAUAAGAGGAAAAAAAAUCUAUACAAAAGGCAAUUUAAGGUUUGAAAAGUAAAAAAAAAUAAUUAAGUAUCUAAAAAAAGCCUAAUAAACAAAAAUUAAAAUGCCCAGCUUGGACUUCGAGCCCAUGAGCACAGGCACAAGGCAACUAAAGGUGCGUUAACCACCAAGCUACUAAGGAAUGUUUGUUAAGUGCUAGCCUCA
rnacentral:lncRNA from 1 species